UACGUAGGGUGCGAGCGUUAAUCGGAAUUACUGGGCGUAAAGCGUGCGCAGGCGGUUUUGCAAGCCGGAUGUGAAAUCCCCGGGCUCAACCUGGGAAUGGCAUUCGGGACUGCAAGGCUGGAGUGCGGCAGAGGAGACUGGAAUUCCUGGUGUAGCAGUGAAAUGCGUAGAUAUCAGGAGGAAUACCGAUGGCGAAGGCAGGUCUCUGGGCUGACACUGACGCUCAUGCACGAAAGCGUGGGGAGC
rnacentral:rRNA from 1 species